GACGAACGCUGGCGGCGUGCUUAACACAUGCAAGUCGAACGGAAAGGCCCCUUUGGGGGUACUCGAGUGGCGAACGGGUGAGUAACACGUGAGUAACCUGCCCUUGACUUCGGGAUAACUUCAGGAAACUGGGGCUAAUACCGGAUAGGAAUCCUUGCUGCCUGGUGGGGGGUGGAAAGCUUCGGCGGUUUUGGAUGGACUCGCGGCUUAUCAGCUUGUUGGUGGGGUAGUGGCUUACCAAGGCUUUGACGGGUAGCCGGCCUGAGAGGGCGACCGGCCACAUUGGGACUGAGAUACGGCCCAGACUCCUACGGGAGGCAGCAGUGGGGAAUAUUGCACAAUGGGCGGAAGCCGGAUGCAGCAACGCCGCGUGCGGGAUGACGGCCUUCGGGUUGUAAACCGCUUUCAGCAGGGGCGAAGCUUGUGGUGACGGUACCUGCAGAAGAAGCACCGGCUAACUACGUG
rnacentral:rRNA from 1 species